CCUACGGGAGGCAGCAGUGAGGAAUAUUGGUCAAUGGGCGGGAGCCUGAACCAGCCAAGUCGCGUGAGGGAAGACGGUCCUAUGGAUUGUAAACCUCUUUAGGCGGGGAGCAAUGCCGGGCACGCGUGCCCGGAGGGAGAGUACCCGCAGAAUAAGCAUCGGCUAACUCCGUGACAGCAGCCGCGGUAAUACGGAGGAUGCGAGCGUUAUCCGGAGUUAUUGGGUUUAAAGGGUGCGUAGGCGGAUUUUUAAGUCAGCGGAAAAAUGUCCGGGCUCAACCCGGGCCGGCCGUUGAAACUGGGGAUCUUGAGUGGGCGAGAAGUAUGCGGAAUGCGUGGUGUAGCGGUGAAAUGCAUAGAUAUCACGCAGAACUCCGAUUGCGAAGGCAGCAUACGGCGCCCGACUGACGCUGAGGCACGAAAGCGUGGGGAUCGAACAGGAUUAGAUACCCUAGUAGUC
rnacentral:rRNA from 1 species